GGGUUGUGAGGUUAAGCGACUAAGCGUACACGGUGGAUGCCCUGGCAGUCAGAGGCGAUGAAGGACGUGCUAAUCUGCGAUAAGCGUCGGUAAGGUGAUAUGAACCGUUAUAACCGGCGAUUUCCGAAUGGGGAAACCCAGUGUGAUUCGUCACACUAUCAUUAACUGAAUCCAUAGGUUAAUGAGGCGAACCGGGGGAACUGAAACAUCUAAGUACCCCGAGGAAAAGAAAUCAACCGAGAUUCCCCCAGUAGCGGCGAGCGAACGGGGAGCAGCCCAGAGCCUGAAUCAGUGUGUGUGUUAGUGGAAGCGUCUGGAAAGGCGUGCGAUACAGGGUGACAGCCCCGUACACAAAAAUGCACAUACUGUGAGCUCGAUGAGUAGGGCGGGACACGUGGUAUCCUGUCUGAAUAUGGGGGGACCAUCCUCCAAGGCUAAAUACUCCUGACUGACCGAUAGUGAACCAGUACCGUGAGGGAAAGGCGAAAAGAACCCCGGCGAGGGGAGUGAAAAAGAACCUGAAACCGUGUACGUACAAGCAGUGGGAGCACGCUUAGGCGUGUGACUGCGUACCUUUUGUAUAAUGGGUCAGCGACUUAUAUUCUGUAGCAAGGUUAACCGAAUAGGGGAGCCGAAGGGAAACCGAGUCUUAACUGGGCGUUAAGUUGCAGGGUAUAGACCCGAAACCCGGUGAUCUAGCCAUGGGCAGGUUGAAGGUUGGGUAACACUAACUGGAGGACCGAACCGACUAAUGUUGAAAAAUUAGCGGAUGACUUGUGGCUGGGGGUGAAAGGCCAAUCAAACCGGGAGAUAGCUGGUUCUCCCCGAAAGCUAUUUAGGUAGCGCCUCGUGAAUUCAUCUCCGGGGGUAGAGCACUGUUUCGGCAAGGGGGUCAUCCCGACUUACCAACCCGAUGCAAACUGCGAAUACCGGAGAAUGUUAUCACGGGAGACACACGGCGGGUGCUAACGUCCGUCGUGAAGAGGGAAACAACCCAGACCGCCAGCUAAGGUCCCAAAGUCAUGGUUAAGUGGGAAACGAUGUGGGAAGGCCCAGACAGCCAGGAUGUUGGCUUAGAAGCAGCCAUCAUUUAAAGAAAGCGUAAUAGCUCACUGGUCGAGUCGGCCUGCGCGGAAGAUGUAACGGGGCUAAACCAUGCACCGAAGCUGCGGCAGCGACGCUUAUGCGUUGUUGGGUAGGGGAGCGUUCUGUAAGCCUGUGAAGGUGUGCUGUGAGGUAUGCUGGAGGUAUCAGAAGUGCGAAUGCUGACAUAAGUAACGAUAAAGCGGGUGAAAAGCCCGCUCGCCGGAAGACCAAGGGUUCCUGUCCAACGUUAAUCGGGGCAGGGUGAGUCGACCCCUAAGGCGAGGCCGAAAGGCGUAGUCGAUGGGAAACAGGUUAAUAUUCCUGUACUUGGUGUUACUGCGAAGGGGGGACGGAGAAGGCUAUGUUGGCCGGGCGACGGUUGUCCCGGUUUAAGCGUGUAGGCUGGUUUUCCAGGCAAAUCCGGAAAAUCAAGGCCGAGGCGUGAUGACGAGGCACUACGGUGCUGAAGCAACAAAUGCCCUGCUUCCAGGAAAAGCCUCUAAGCAUCAGGUAACAUCAAAUCGUACCCCAAACCGACACAGGUGGUCAGGUAGAGAAUACCAAGGCGCUUGAGAGAACUCGGGUGAAGGAACUAGGCAAAAUGGUGCCGUAACUUCGGGAGAAGGCACGCUGAUACGUAGGUGAAGCGACUUGCUCGUGGAGCUGAAAUCAGUCGAAGAUACCAGCUGGCUGCAACUGUUUAUUAAAAACACAGCACUGUGCAAACACGAAAGUGGACGUAUACGGUGUGACGCCUGCCCGGUGCCGGAAGGUUAAUUGAUGGGGUUAGCGCAAGCGAAGCUCUUGAUCGAAGCCCCGGUAAACGGCGGCCGUAACUAUAACGGUCCUAAGGUAGCGAAAUUCCUUGUCGGGUAAGUUCCGACCUGCACGAAUGGCGUAAUGAUGGCCAGGCUGUCUCCACCCGAGACUCAGUGAAAUUGAACUCGCUGUGAAGAUGCAGUGUACCCGCGGCAAGACGGAAAGACCCCGUGAACCUUUACUAUAGCUUGACACUGAACAUUGAGCCUUGAUGUGUAGGAUAGGUGGGAGGCUUUGAAGUGUGGACGCCAGUCUGCAUGGAGCCGACCUUGAAAUACCACCCUUUAAUGUUUGAUGUUCUAACGUGGACCCGUGAUCCGGGUUGCGGACAGUGUCUGGUGGGUAGUUUGACUGGGGCGGUCUCCUCCUAAAGAGUAACGGAGGAGCACGAAGGUUGGCUAAUCCUGGUCGGACAUCAGGAGGUUAGUGCAAUGGCAUAAGCCAGCUUGACUGCGAGCGUGACGGCGCGAGCAGGUGCGAAAGCAGGUCAUAGUGAUCCGGUGGUUCUGAAUGGAAGGGCCAUCGCUCAACGGAUAAAAGGUACUCCGGGGAUAACAGGCUGAUACCGCCCAAGAGUUCAUAUCGACGGCGGUGUUUGGCACCUCGAUGUCGGCUCAUCACAUCCUGGGGCUGAAGUAGGUCCCAAGGGUAUGGCUGUUCGCCAUUUAAAGUGGUACGCGAGCUGGGUUUAGAACGUCGUGAGACAGUUCGGUCCCUAUCUGCCGUGGGCGCUGGAGAACUGAGGGGGGCUGCUCCUAGUACGAGAGGACCGGAGUGGACGCAUCACUGGUGUUCGGGUUGUCAUGCCAAUGGCACUGCCCGGUAGCUAAAUGCGGAAGAGAUAAGUGCUGAAAGCAUCUAAGCACGAAACUUGCCCCGAGAUGAGUUCUCCCUGACCCUUUAAGGGUCCUGAAGGAACGUUGAAGACGACGACGUUGAUAGGCCGGGUGUGUAAG
rnacentral:rRNA from 1 species